rnacentral:rRNA from 1 species
CACGUAGGGGGCGAGCGUUGUCCGGAUUUAUUGGGCGUAAAGGGCUCGUAGGCUGCUCAGUAAGUCGGGUGUGAAACCUCCAGGCUCAACCUGGAGACGCCACUCGAUACUGCUGUGGCUAGAGUCCGGUAGGGGAGCAUGGAAUUCCUGGUGUAGCGGUGAAAUGCGCAGAUAUCAGGAGGAACACCAAUGGCGAAGGCAGCUCGCUGGGACGUGGCUGACGCUGAGGAGCGAAAGCGUGGGGAGCGAACAGG